GCAACAGAUCAUGAAUGACGUUGGAUGUAACACAUAUGUGGAAAUGAAGAGGAAAGCAGACAGAAGAGAGGAAUGGCGCUCUGCUGCAAACCAAUCUCAGGGUUGAACACUAAAGAAGAAGAUUUGGGAAACAGUUUUUGGAAGAGGAUAUAACAUUCUCGCAAAUAGACGAUAUACAUGCAACAGAUCAUGAAUGACGUUGGAUGUAACACAUAUGUGGAAAUGAAGAGGAAAGCAGACAGAAGAGAGGAAUGGCGCUCUGCUGCAAACCAAUCUCAGGGUUGAACACUAAAGAAGAAGAUUUGGGAAACAGUUUUUGGAAGAGGAUAUAACAUUCUCGCAAAUAGACGAUAUAAACGCCUGAGAUUUUCCGAUAUCAGUGAUUUCUGUGAAUGCUACUUUCCAGUAUCUGCUAUUCUUAACUGUGAUUUGUCGCACUUAAGAGUCGCAGUUUAGGAACGUAGGUCGCGUAUCCCUCCGCCACUGAUAUUUCUGUGACUCCCGCGACUUACCACCGUAUGAAAAAGUUACAUCUGCCCACACAGAAAAUUGCAUCUCAACAAACCUGACAUUGGUACCCGAACUACAUUUCAGUCACUCAGUAAAUUGAUAACUCAACAGAUCUGGAGAAAUUACCACUUCGUCUUUAGACUGUUUUCGUCAGCCAGGAGACACAGUUCUGACUCUUGAUUACUGGUUGCUGUACGUAUCUAUCCACAUCAAGGCUGUUGAGAGAGACUCGUGAAGAUUCAAGACAGCUCUUAGAGGAUUUGCAGUUUAAAAGUGACAUAAUUGUGAAAAAAGUGUGCAGAUGAGUGAUUAAACUGUGUUUUAUUGAAGUUGUUAUGCGAUUUUAA